rnacentral:lncRNA from 1 species
UUUUUUUUUUCGAGACUAAAAAUAAGGAGGACUAAUUUUUGCAUGUAUUCACCCUACUGCUCGGUAUCUUUGUUUUUUUAAGAAUGCAGUAACUGCCACAAUAAGGAGUUAGUUUGUAUCUUACAGCUGUGGAGGAUUAGGAAUUAAAUACUGAUUUCAUACUUCUACUGGUGUGCUUAUUACCCUUACAGUUCAUUAACGCCUGCUUUUGUUUCUCUUCCUGUGUAGUCUAAAACAACAGUUUUUCUUUUCUUUCUCAGCCCUCAUUAAGAACAAUGUUCGGUUACAGUCGGUACACAAACUCUGGCUGUGGUCCCAUGUUCACUAAUGUGUGUUAUCUGAACACUGUGACAGAAGUUUCAUCAGAAAUACAGCUUUGACGCAUGGCUUGGAUGGAAUAUUUAAGUCUUCUGCAGUGACCAAUGUCUUUUCUAUCUCAAUGGUCAUAUUUUCUGAUGAAAACACAACUGGCUGGAGUGCUUUGGACCAACUUUGCCCAAGUGUGAGGGUAAGAAGCUGCAUUCAGAGGUGCUGCAGCCCUCUUCCCUGGACGUGGCUUGAGUUCCCUAGGCACAAUCCAAGGCAGCAUCAGGGGCUCAGCGACACGUUUUCUUCUCUCCCUGGUGUGGCUGGCAAGGGAGGAACUGUAGAAGAAACCAUUCACAAAUGUAAGAACCCAGGAAUCCUGUAAAGGGAUCACCCUGUUCAGCAGUUCAGACAGGAGACUGCAGCCUGCAGCCCCCGCUUACCUAAUGACACCGUCUGGACCGCAGUCUGCCCACCUCCUGCCUCGGCACCACUGCAGCACGUUCAGUCGGAGCAGCAGCAAAGGCUGGAAAGGGUCUGUAGGACAAGGAGGGCAGCUCUCCCCUGCUCAGCUUGCAGACACAUGGUGAUUGCUGCCUGAGCUGUGUGAAAGUUAUUCUGUCUAUGUUUUAUUUUGUGGGUAAUGCGGCUUGUUGGGUUUUAUUAUUUUCUCUUUAUGCAAGGC